UACGAAGGGGGCUAGCGUUGUUCGGAAUCACUGGGCGUAAAGGGCGCGUAGGCGGCUUUAUAAGUCGGGGGUGAAAGCCUGUGGCUCAACCACAGAAUUGCCUUCGAUACUGUAGAGCUUGAGACCGGAAGAGGUAAGUGGAACUGCGAGUGUAGAGGUGAAAAUUCGUAGAUAUUCGCAAGAACACCAGUGGCGAAGGCGGCUUACUGGUCCGGUUCUGGACGCUGAGGCGCGACAGCGUGGGGAGCAAACAGG
rnacentral:rRNA from 1 species